rnacentral:rRNA from 1 species
UGCAGAAUCCCGUGAACCAUCGAGUCUUUGAACGCAAGUUGCGCCCAAUGCCAUUAGGUUGAGGGCACGUCUGCCUGGGUGUCACAUAUCGAAGCCUUUUGCCAAUUUCCUAUUCCUAGGUGUUGUGCAGGGUGAAUGUUGGCCUCCCGUGAGCUCUCUUGACCCAUGGUUGGUUGAAAAUUGAUGCCUUGGUAGCGUGAGCCAUGAUAGAUGGUGGUUGUGCGACCCACAAACAAAACCAAAUCAUGUGCUCGCUCUAUCAAAUUUUACCCACAUGCGUUGAUAAACGCUCGUGAUGAGACCUCAGGUCAGGCGGGGCUACCCGCUGAAUUUAAGCAUAUCAAUAAGCGGAGGAAAAGAAACUAACAAGGAUUCCCUUAGUAACGGCGAGCGAACCGGGAUAAGCCCACCAUGAGAAUCGAUCGCCCUCGGUGUUCGA